rnacentral:rRNA from 1 species
UAGGCGAAGUAGGGUGAUCCCAUGCUGCCGAGAAAAGCCUCUAGCGAGUGCUGUUGCGGCCCGUACCCCAAACCGACACAGGUGGUCAGGUAGAGAAUACCGAGGCGAUCGAGUGAACUGUGGUUAAGGAACUCGGCAAAAUACCUCCGUAACUUCGGGAGAAGGAGGACCGUCUGGCUUGAAGCCCUUCGCGGGCUAGGGUUGGGCGGUCGCAGAGACCAGGCCCAAGCGACUGUUUACUAAAAACACAGGUCCGUGCGAAGUCGUAAGACGAUGUAUACGGACUGACGCCUGCCCGGUGCUGGAACGUUAAGAGGACCUGUUAGUCCCUUUGGGGGCGAAGCGGAGAAUUUAAGCGCCAGUAAACGGCGGUGGUAACUAUAACCAUCCUAAGGUAGCGAAAUUCCUUGUCGGGUAAGUUCCGACCUGCACGAAUGGCGUAACGACUUGGGCGCUGUCUCGACCACAGACUCGGCGAAAUUGCAGUACGAGUAAAGAUGCUCGUUACGCGCGGCAGGACGGAAAGACCCCGGGACCUUUACUACAGCUUGGUAUUGGUGCUCGGUUCGGCUUGUGUAGGAUAGGUGGGAGACUGGGAAGCUGUCACGCUAGUGAUGGUGGAGUCGUCCUUGAAAUACCACUCUGGUCGAAUUGGGUGUCUUAACCUCGGGCCAUGAUCUGGUCCAGGGACAGUGCCUGGUGGGUAGUUUAACUGGGGCGGUUGCCUCCCAAAGAGUAACGGAGGCGCAAAAGGUUCCCUCAGCCUGGUUGGCAAUCAGGUGUUGAGUGUAAGUGCACAAGGGAGCUUGACUGUGAGACUGACGGGUCGAGCAGGGACGAAAGUCGGGACUAGUGAUCCGGCACCACCUGGUGGAAGGGGUGUCGCUCAACGGAUAAAAGGUACCCCGGGGAUAACAGGCUGAUCUUGCCCAAGAGUCCAUAUCGACGGCAUGGUUUGGCACCUCGAUGUCGGCUCGUCGCAUCCUGGGGCUGGAGUCGGUCCCAAGGGUUGGGCUGUUCGCCCAUUAAAGCGGUACGCGAGCUGGGUUUAGAACGUCGUGAGACAGUUCGGUCCCUAUCCGCCGCGCGCGUAGGAUACUUGCGGAAGGCUGUCCCUAGUACGAGAGGACCGGGACGGACGAACCUCUGGUGUGCCAGUUGUCCCGCCAGGGGCAUGGCUGGUUGGCUAUGUUCGGAAGGGAUAACCGCUGAAGGCAUCUAAGCGGGAAGCUCGUUCCAAGAUGAGGUAUCCCACCACCUUUGCGUGGUUAAGGCCCCCUAGAGACCAUGGGGUUGAUAGGCCAGAGAUGGAAGCCUCGUGAGGGGUGGAGUCGACUGGUACUAAUAGGCCGAGGGCUUG